rnacentral:tRNA from 3 species
UCCUGCGUAGCUCAAUUGGCAGAGCAGCCGGCUGUUAACCGGCAGGUUACUGGUUCGAGUCCAGUCGCAGGAG